UUCCUAAUUAAAUUUUCUAAAUAACAAAAUUCUCAAUUUAUUGAUUUUAAGAAAAAAAAUUAAUGCAAAAUAAUUUCUAAAUUUAGUUUUCCUUGACAACAUCACUGAUCAAGGCGAACAAAAGCAAACUUGAGACAGAAUGUCACUUUUAUGAUGGUGGAAAUAUAUUGCAUAAGCAGAGUAAGAUCGUCAUCACCUGUUCCCUUGCAAAAUACUCAG
rnacentral:misc_RNA from 1 species